rnacentral:rRNA from 1 species
GAUGAACGCUAGCUACAGGCUUAACACAUGCAAGUCGAGGGGAAACGAUAUUGGAAGCUUGCUUCCGACAGGCGUCGACCGGCGCACGGGUGAGUAACGCGUAUCCAACCUGCCCACCACUUGGGGAUAACCUUGCGAAAGUAAGACUAAUACCCAAUGAUAUCUCUAGAAGACAUCUGAAGGAGAUUAAAGAUUUAUCGGUGAUGGAUGGGGAUGCGUCUGAUUAGCUUGUUGGUGGGGUAACGGCCCACCAAGGCGACGAUCAUUAGGGGUUCUGAGAGGAAGGUCCCCCACAUUGGAACUGAGAUACGGUCCAAACUCCUACGGGAGGCAGCAGUGAGGAAUAUUGGUCAAUGGGCGAGAGCCUGAACCAGCCAAGUAGCGUGCAGGAUGACGGCCCUAUGGGUUGUAAACUGCUUUUAUAAGGGAAUAAAGUGAGCCUCGUGAGGCUUUUUGCAUGUACCUUAUGAAUAAGGACCGGCUAAUUCCGUGCCAGCCGCCGCAGUAA